rnacentral:rRNA from 1 species
AACGAACGCUGGCGGCAGGCUUAACACAUGCAAGUCGAACGCACCGCAAGGUGAGUGGCAGACGGGUGAGUAACACGUGGGGAUCUGCCCAAUGGUACGGAAUAGCUCCGGGAAACUGGAAUUAAUACCGUAUGUGCCCUUCGGGGGAAAGAUUUAUCGCCAUUGGAUGAACCCGCGUCGGAUUAGCUAGUUGGUGAGGUAAAGGCUCACCAAGGCGACGAUCCGUAGCUGGUCUGAGAGGAUGAUCAGCCACACUGGGACUGAGACACGGCCCAGACUCCUACGGGGGGCAGCAGUGGGGAAUAUUGGACAAUGGGCGCAAGCCUGAUCCAGCCAUGCCGCGUGAGUGAUGAAGGCCUUAGGGUUGUAAAGCUCUUUCGCCGACGAAGAUAAUGACGGUAGUCGGAGAAGAAGCCCCGGCUAACUUCGUGCCAGCAGCCGCGGUAAAAC